CCUACGGGUGGCAGCAGUGGGGAAUAUUGGACAAUGGGCGAAAGCCUGAUCCAGCCAUGCCGCGUGUGUGAAGAAGGCCUUCGGGUUGGAAAGCACUUUCUGUGGGGAAGAAAGCCUUGGGGCUAAUACCCUCGAGGAAGGACAUCACCCACAGAAGAAGCACCGGCUAACUCCGUGCCAGCAGCCGCGGUAAUACGGAGGGUGCGAGCGUUAAUCGGAAUUACUGGGCGUAAAGCGCGCGUAGGCGGUCUGAUAAGCCUGUUGUGAAAGCCCCGGGCUCAACCUGGGAACGGCAUCCGGAACUGUCAGGCUAGAGUGCAGGAGAGGAAGGUAGAAUUCCCGGAGUAGCGGUGAAAUGCGUAGAGAUCGGGAGGAAUACCAGUUGCGAAGGCGGCCUUCUGGACUGACACUGACGCUGAGGUGCGAAAGCGUGGGUAGCAAACAGGAUUAGAUACCCGUGUAGUC
rnacentral:rRNA from 1 species